GGAUGGCUGGAUAAAGUUAAGGAUGGACGGCUAUUGAAUGGAGAAGUGACUGAUUAAUGUGUUUAUGUACCACUAUAAAAACUCAUCUAGAGAAUUUCUGCUAAUAGACAAAUGGAGAUCACUAAGCCACAUCAGAGAGGGAGAUUAAUCACACUGUUCUCGGUAAUCAACACAUGUGACAAAAAGGCAUCUGUGCAGAGCCCUUAGUGAUGGCAUGGUCCAUAUUGUUCUAGGGCUGCUGCAGUGUUUCCAAGGAAAAUAGGCAUGAACCAUCUGAUGCAGCCAGGCUGGAAAGAGGAGAAACAAACUAACUUGGAGAAGCUAUGAUGUAAGCAUCCGGGGAAAGGAAGAACUGCUUCAGGAUAAGAGCCAAUGGGGCUCGCAGAAAAGCUCGGUUGGUGAAGCUCUUCAUAAGAAGCACAAAGUCCCACCCGCCGGAACUCAGCUGGCAAUGGCGGCACAGGCUUAUAAUCCAAGGGCUGAGCAGGCAGAGCCAGAGCACCUCCGUGGCUUGCUGGCUGGCUGGCCAGUCAAGUUCCACCACUGAGAAGCCUUGGCCCACAUCAAGGGCUCUCUCCUUGAAGGAAGUCUCCCAGACUACCCUCACCAACUGUUGAGAGCAGCUAUUCUUUCCUUUAAGAGGACUACCAUGUUCUGGCAGGAAUCAAUUCAUGAGAGCAAAUCAACCCACACAGUGACACUGUGGCCGGCUCCCCAGUUACAUCCCAGACAUUUCCUGACCUUUAUGAUACAUCUCUAGAGCUACAGAGGAAGGGAAAUGUUUGCAUAUGGGAUUUUUAAGUUACCAUGAGCAAUCAUGCUUACAUUGUACAUAAAGUCCCUGCAACUGUACAAGGCACUGAAAGGAAUGGGAGAAAGAAGUAAGGAGAGAGAGAGAGAGAAAGAGAGAGAGAGAGAGAGAGAGAGAGAGAGAGAGAAACAACCCUAGCCACAGACAUUGAACUGCUUAGUCCCGUUGUGCCUGAAGUCUACUUCCUAAAAUGUGACACCCUCACACUCUCCAUUCUUGACACUAAUUUCUAGUCUAUUUAACCUUAUUGGACUGAGCUUCUGACCCUUACAAUUAAAAAAUAAAACCUGACAAAUAAAAAUGCAUGUUUUAUGGUGCUGGUUUCCUGGGUCUGUCCAUUCCCAUAUGAUACGCUGUGUCACACGGGAUUCACCUAGAGGAGAGAGGAGGUGACAACCACGGUGUUGGUGUUCAAGACCAAUCCUAGGCACUCAGUGGACUCUGCCUACUUAACUGCCUCAGAGUAGUUAAAUGAAUCCCUGCGCUAACGUUUCCAUGAGAAACCUGUCUCCAGCAGGUGGCGCUAUUGAGAGGUAAUUGGACUAGGAGGGUGCUAGCUGGCUUCAUCUAGGGUAAACCAGUGGGGCAGUUCACAGCUGAAUGCACCAUUAGGAAAUGGGGGCCUUGCAAUAGAGGGCGGGUCCUUGGAAGUGUACCUCUGCAGGGUACAUCUGUGUGUGGAGCAGUACACACGUGUGUGCGCUUGCAUGUGGAAGCCAAAAGACAACCUCUAGUGAUGCUACUCAAACAUCCUUGGGGAUCCUCCUGUCGCCUCUUCCCUGCACUAGUUCUGCAAAUGCCUCUGCACCUGGCUUAUUUACGUGGGUGCUGGGGACUGAAAUGAGAUCUUCCUGCUCCUGACUCAAGAACUUUACCAACUGGUCUAUCUCUUCAGAAUUGAAGUACUCACAUGCGUGCGCGCGUGUGUGUGUGCGUGUGUGUGUGUGUGUGUGUGUAUCCUCCCCCUCUCUUUUCACCUCUCUGCCUUCCAGCUGCCCCACCACACCACACCUGCUCAGUCAUGAUGCCCUCCACCACCUCAGGCCAAAGCAGUAGAACCAGCAAGCCUCGGGCUAAAAGCUCUGAGACCAUGGUCAGAAUCAACCUUCCCCUUUUAUGCUGAUAUGCUCAGGUAUUUUGUAGAAGCCAUGGACAGGCUGAGUAGCCGAUCCCAGAUCCCAGUCAGUAAGUGAUAGGAAGACGAAAGGUCAGUUACAGGCAAUGGCCAGCCUCUCAAGGCUGGUCACUAUUUCUGAGAAUUGAGAACAUGCUGGCAAGACUGAAGCUACUUCUGAUUCACUGGGCAAGACGUAAAGUGUGACUAGGAACUCUUCAUAAAUAAGCUAGCCUUUCUAUAAAGAGCAAUCAGGCCAAUAUGAUGGCCCCACGGGGUUAGUGCUUGCUGCUGAGGAUGACCACCACAUUCAAUUCCCAAAGUCCAUGCAGAAGGAAAGAAUAGGUUCUCACAUGUUGUGUGUGUGUGCGCGCACACACACACCAUGGCACAUACACAAAUAAAUAUACAUUUUUGAAAACAGUUGACACUUCAUCUGUGCAUGACUGAUUAGUUCAGGACCCACUGUCCAGUGCGGCACCUGCUGGGGUGGCUUGAGUGUGCAAAGUUUCCCCACAGGAUUCAUGGGUGUAAUCAUUUGGUUUCAGCACAUGGCACUGUUUGGGAAGGUUGUGGAAGCUUUAGGAGGCACAGCCUAAGUAGAGGAAGUGGGGUCAUCAAGGGCAGGCCUUGAAAUUUAAUAACCUAGCUCCAUUUCCUGCCCCCUUCCUACUUCUCAACAGCAGAUAAAUGCAAUCAGCUGCCUCGUGUUCCAGCUGCCAUGCUUCUCCUGACAUAAGGGACUGUACCCCAGAACUGUACUCGGAAUAAAUGCUUCCUCCUUUAGGCUAUUUCUUGCCAAGCAUUUGCUCAUAGGAGCUAGGAAAUUACCUGAUGCAGUACUGGAUUCAACAACACUGUAUUGUACACUUAAAAAUGUGCUAAUAGAUUUUUAAAUAGACCAAGUUUCCUAUCUGUUAACAGCAUCUAUCCCGGCUGGUGUAUCAAGAAGAAAGAGAAAAAAAAAAAAAGCACUCGUUCAUCUUUAUAGAAAUCAAAUCUAUUUCAUAAAAAAAAAAUCUUUCCUGUCCUUCCAUGUCAAGGUUACAUUUCAUUUUAGCACACAAAAAGAGCUGUGACCCUCUUCAAUUUAGUGAGUAGGAUGUAGAAAAUGCUGGAUAAUCAAAAUCAAAGGAACAAGAUGAAAACCUGACAAAUAAUUCAAUUUGAUGGCAUGCUUUACUCCAAGCAUUAGAUGAAAAAUAUUAAAUUAUAUGCCUACUCUAGAGGAUGCUUCCCAAAGAAGUGAAUGUAGAUACUGUAUGUGUGGACACCAUUUCAUUGUGUUGUUUUAAUGACUUAUAUGCAAACUUCCUAGGAGAACAUGGUUGUAGGAAAAUGAAUUUUCCUGAACUCCAAUGUCAAUUGAAAGGUCAAGGUUGUGUUGUUCGAUUUAUGACCAGAAUUUUCCAUGAAUCUGCCUGUCCAGAGCUAGCUGCUUCUCCGGUUCCUCUGUGCCUUUCCAUGUGGAUGGGUUUGAACUAAAUUAAUCAGAAACAAAGGCCACUUCUGAUGUGGCUCUAUUGUAUUGGGGCGUCUGGUGCUGCUCUAGAACGCCUGACAUUAGACUUCUCACAUACACAGCCAAACCUGAUGAGUUAUAUUUACCUGUGUUCUCAGAGGGCAGGCAUCCCAGUGCAUGUAAAUAAUACAUGUAUUGGCUGGGAUUCUUUUUUUAAGUCCUCAAUUCCAAGUGCUGGUAAGAAGUUCAACUUUUGACCCUUAUGUCAUAUCUUCCUGAAAAAUGAUUAUUUUUUUCUGAUGGAUUUAGGAUAUGAAAGAAACCAGGAAUAGAAUCUUCAGUCAAACUCUUUCCAGGAAUGAGGGCACCUCCUUCAACCACAGACUUGUUCCUGAGUUUAGCAAUGCAAAGUUCAUUUGACAUAAUUAGUCAAACAUUGCUUUUUAAUAUUUUAUGUUACUUUUUUAAGAUUUAUUUUUUUAAAGUGUGUGUGUGUGUGUGUGUGUGUGUGUGUGUGUGUGUGUGUGUGUGUGUGUGUGUGUGUGUAUACUUGUUCCUGCAGAGGCCAGAAGAGGGACUUCCUGGAACUGGAGUUACAGACGGAUUGGAGUGCCAAGAACCCUUUAGACGUGCAAUGCCUGCAAUUAACCACUAAGCCAUCAUUCUAACCCUAAAAACUUGCUAUUUUUUUUAAUAAAAAGUGGUUUAAAAAAUUAAUAAAAAUUUGCUAAAACAGUUUGGUAGGACUAAAAACAAGCAAAAUCCUUCCAUUGAUUGUGAGCUGUGGGAAAAAAAAAGAUUGCCUUCUUAAUCGUUUAAUAUAUAAUUAUAACUAUAGCCUCAUUACUGCACAGACCUCUUCUAAAACUUCCAAAAAUAACUAAGUUCCAGGGGAAUUUAUGUGGCCUUGAAAUUCCACAGACAGAAGAGCCUGAAGGUCCAUUACUGACAAAGAAUGCCAAGUGAUCUUGUCCCUGCCUUUUAAAAGAGAAUGUGCCAGCAUGCUGUGGUAUGAAGAUAUCAUUUACUUCCAGAAAGGACACCUCUCCCCUCCCUUUCCCCUCAGCCAUUUUCUCCUUCCCUCUACCUCUUUCCAACCUUUCAGACCUGUGUAUUGAGUGUGUAGUUUGUGCCAGACAUUGUGACAGGCACAGAGAAAGCACCCAGUCCUUGCAGAGACAGACAGGGUAAAGCUAGAAGCUGGAGGUGCUGUGGCUGAGCCACCCAGAAGAUGGUGCUAAAUUCUAGUUACUCCCUUCAGAUGCAACCUGAGAGGUAGCAGGUGCCUCGGUUAGUAACUUGACUGGACUGAGAUGCACCCAGAGAGGAGCAAAGGGCAGACCUGAGUGUGGGCAGCAGGCUGAGGGCCUAGGAGCAAUAAAAGGGGGAAAAGAAGGGAUCAAAUGCAGCCAUGUGUGCUCAUGUGCAUAGUUAAUUUUUAUUACAUCUAUUUACGUAAUUUGCGUAUAUGAAUGGGCACAUGUGCCUGUGGGAUUGCUUCUCUCCUUCCACCACAUGGGCUCUGGGGAUGAAAGUCAUAUGUAUAAGCUCACCUUUCUCUCUCCUUUCUCCCAGGCCAUGCCAUCCCUUCCCAACAGGUUUACAGCCUCUGAAUGCAGCAUAAAUCCUCCCUCUCUUAAUUUGUGUCUGCCCAAUGUUUUGUCACUGGCAGGAAAUGCUGAGUCAUGCAAAGGGGAAGACAGAGAAAACUGCUUCCGACCCAUACAGAGCAGCAUCUCCUCCUUGCAUUACUGACAGAAGAAGUAACUGCAAGACAGUCUGAUGGAAGGAAGGCCAUAAAGAGCAACAGGGAUGAAAGAGAGAAGAAACCCCAAAAUACCUAGGGACAGUCUCCAGUUUCCGUCCCAAAGGAACUCACAGAAAGGCUAGUUUGGGGGAUCUCACUGGUGCCCACCAUCCUCACCCUCCCCAAGGUGAAACAGUCACAUUGACUCUUGUGCCAAAUGGCUGCAAUGCCUGCUUUAUGUUUCUGGCAGGCUUGGACGACUAACUGUUUCAUGCCAGUGCUCUACCCCUAGUCCAGACAGUCUAGACAAUGAGCUCUCAUUUUUGAAAGUUUUUUCUUCCUAUAUAAGAAUCAAAUCCUUCCUGCAGUGGCAGUCACAGACAUGGUCUUCAGCUCUAUCCUUUAAUACAACCCCAGCUAUGAGGAAGGGCUUCCCCAGGGACACAGAGACUGUAGCUUUAGGCAAAAAGAAAAACCUCCAUCUCACAAAACACAAAAUCUCUCCCAACAUAUUCUGUCAAAAAAGCUCUGAUAUUGUGUCUAAUAUUAAGCCUUGUAAAAUCCGCAUCACAGACUCCUACAAGCACCACUGCUGGUUUAUUUUCAAUGAAACCUCAGAUUCUUAUCCAGGUGCCUGCUUCAAUUUUCAGGUGUUUACGCACACACACACCCACACCCACACCCACACACACACACACACACACACACACCCUGCUCCCCAGCACACUCUUGCUGCUAACAAAAUGAAACUGUAUCAGACACCAUUGUCUUUGAAAAUUAAGAAAAACAAGUGAUUGGCUAUAGAGAGCAGAGGCUGGAACAGAAGGCAGAAUGAAAGCCAGCUUAGCCUGUCUGCAUCCACUGUAGGCCCUCUGCUGUGUGGGCACAGAAGAGAGAAGGAGUCCUGCUUUACUGUUUCCUUCAGAGAGUCUGGAAGCGCCUCACAGUGCACAGCAUGGGUGAUACAUUCCAUUCUAUAGCACAAUGGAGAAGCCAUGGAGACAGGCUUUCCUUUCCAGUUCCCACAACCCUCAGACCACUUGGAAAGUAGAGACUGAAUCUCAAAGGUGGAAUGCUGAUCACUGGGGUGGGCACUACUCUUUCUUUCUCUCUUCCCUCCAACUCCUCCCUGAAAGCUCAGGCCAGUGGUCCAUCUUAGGAUGCACUCAGAAUGAUAAGCCCAAGGUCAAGGCCAGCCAGUGCAGUGAGAAUCAAUUACUUUCCCCAGCCUAUAAAUCAGAGCUCCCACCUCCACCUCUCAGAGGAUGGCAGAGGGUGUGGAGGGCAAGAGAAGCAUCCAGGCAACACCAGGUCAAAGCCAAGGCCAGGCAUGAUGACCUACAGUCACUUCCAUCCAAACAUGCAUCUGUUUCCAGACAAGAACCUGCUCCUGGAAGAGCCACAGUAGGACAUGAUGCAUUCCUGCAGUAAGGGAAUCAUGGGUUCUAUUUACAAUUCUGGAGCAAUCUACUAAAAUGGCAUCAGACUCCCAACUGUGCUCCAACAGUACCAGACAACAACGUUGAGAGGCAUCUUCCCAGAAUUCUUCAUUUCCAGCAGUGUGUAGCUUUAUAGUUAGAGUUGGACAUAUGCUGCGUUUCCCCCCCCCCUCCUGGACACAUUGGCCAAUGCUCCGAAUUCUUAGAUAUCAAAAUGGGGGAUGAUAAACAAAGUAAAGGAGAGGAAUGGUUUGGGGUGUACAAUAGGUAAAACAUUAGCAGAUGAGAGACCAGAAGGUUGUGUAACCACAAAGUAAGCUGUGCUAGAAAAGGUCUGUUUUGAGUCCAAAAAAGAAAUUUCGCACCCAAUGGAUCUUACUUAGUGAGGGAGGUACAUAGAAGUUAGGCAAGCUAAGGCUGCAAAGACCUCAUAAAGAGAAGGAAUCGACACUCAGCUGGAGUCCUCCCAAGAAGGAAGGAGAUAUCUCCUCAACUGGGGAGGUGAGGACACUCCAGGCUCCUGGUUGCCCUGGUGACCAGAACACUCUUCACAUGAUAAUGGCUUAGAAAUGAACACAAUCACUUGGACAUGAAAUAAACAGUGAACUUUGGAGUGAAAGACGGCCGGCCAUGAGAGCUCCACACAGGAAGAGUUGAGGAUGUGGAGUCUGGGUGGAAGUCAUUAGGCAUCAUGGUAUGGACAGUGUUGAGUACUGGGAGAAGUAUUAUGAGCCUGACAGGUAAGGGACAGGCUAAUGAUAGCUAAUGCCUUUGACAAGUAAUAUGUCUGCCAUUUCUCUUUCUGGCAUGCUGUAGCCUACAAAGUCUAAAUUAAGUGUUAAUGAGCCCAUAUUGAUCUCCCUGAUCCCUUCUGCCUUCAGCAUGAGGAAGGCAGGCUGACUGGGGAGACUCAGUUGGGAUUCAGUCUUUGGAUGUGGGCAUCUCCCUGGGUGAUCAUGGCCACUCUGCCUUCCCUCCUGCUGUCCACACCAGACCAAGUUCAUGGAGGCAACCUCAAAGACUCUGCUGUUCAGUGCUCAGUGAACUGCCUGGGACAUAGCACCCAGAUAGUUCAACGCUCAUCUUGAUGAUUGUAGUGAAAGCAGCAUUUCAUGGAUGUGAUCAACACCUAUGAACUCUUGACAUAAGCAAACAACCUUCAGGAAUGGGGAGGAGCCUGGUCUUCUGAGCUGAAAGCCUUUACAGCAAAGAUGGAUUUCCUGGAGAUAAAGGAAAGUUGUCCUCAUAUGAUAUCAGAGAAAUUCCACCAGCUUCCUGCCAGCUGGCUUUCUAUAAUCCACUUCCAGACUUGCCAGACCUCAGAAUCACAGGAGACAGUUCCUAAAAAUAAAUCUUCCCAGAGAUUGAUAAAGAAAUAAGUGUCUUUGGAUAUGGAUAUACACAUAUAUACAUAUGGCUGGGGUAUAGUGUCUUAUAAUAUGAAAUAUCUAUUUGGUCUUUGUUCUAACUUCUUGCCACAUAACUGUCUAAACCUAGAGUGUCUCCAAAUCAUGUGUCUUUUCAGGUGCAGGUGAUUUACUGAUGCCCAGGGGCUCCUAGGGCCUCAGAGAGAAGCUGCUUGCUAAGAGGAAAUUCCAUGUGAUUAGAGGGUUAGAAUUUUGAGUUCUCCCCUAACACAUACCACUGAGAAAGGGGAAAAGGCCAAUGAUGUCAUCAAUUAUGCAUACAUAAUGAAGCUUCUGUUAAAAGCACAAAAAGGGCAGAGUUCACAGGCCUUCCAGAGAGCUGAAACCUGGAUCACACUUACAGGGGAGGCAGGGAAGCCUCCAUGUUUUUCCCUCAGGCAUGGUCUCAUCCCAAUAUUGUAUUGUAUGUACCAGAAUGCAUAAAAAUGUGUGUGUACAUGUUAAGCAAAUUGAUCUUUGUCUUUUAUAGCACUGUGUGCACUGUAUAUGCAUGGAGACUAGAGGUCAAUGCCGAGUCUCCAUCUUGUUUUUUGAAACAGGAUCUCUCACUGAAUCGGACCACAGUUGAGAACUGCUACAGGCUGGCAGAUGAAAUCUAGGAAUCCAUCUGGUUAUGCCUCAACAGUGCUAGGAUUGCAAACAUAGGAUUGUAAACCAUGCCUGGCUUUUCCAUGGGUGCUGGGGAUACGAACUCAGCUUUUCAGGUUUGCAUGGGAGGUUACUGAGCAACCUCCUUAGUCCUGAAACCUUUAUAAGUCAUAGACAAACAUAGAUCAUGCUUUCCUGAGUUCUAUGAAACCCUGAAAAUUCAUCAAACUCGAUGGAGUUGUAGAAAUCCUGAUUUGCAGUGGUGUGUCUGAAGUACUGACUGCCACCUGAGGGUUUGUGAUUGGCACCUAAAGUGGGAAACACUUCAGGAGAUGCCCCUCAAUCCACAGACUCCAACUCUUACUACAGCUAGUUUUUGGGGGGAUUGAAAUGCCUUAUGGGGAGUCCAGGUGAUGUCUACUGAAUAAUUGGUUAUUAAAGUAGAAAAUCCCUCACUUUUGGAUAUAGAUGUUUUGUAUUGUCUAAAGUGUGAAAAUACAGAGAAACUGUAUGUUUGAAACCUAUUUUUAAUAUUAUGUUUUAUUUUUUUAAGUAUGCAUAUACCUGUGUGUAGGUGUGUGCACACCAAUACAGUUGUUCCCAGAGGCCAGAAACACAAGAUCUCCUCAAAUCCCAGUGUGCUUGCAGGGAACCAUACUUAGGUCCUCUGUAAAACAGUAUAUAAUCUUAACUUCUGUGCCAUCUUUCUAGCCCCUGGGAAAAUGUAUAUUUUUUAUUAACAUUUUAUAUGUGUGUGUAUAUAAGUUUAUAUAUACACAACAAAGAAUUAUAUAACAUAUAAGAUAAGUCUAGAUAUAUUAUAUAAAUAUGAAAUAAGAACUAAGUUCCUUGAGACUUGAGAUGGGACCUUGAAAUCUUAUCACUUAUACGUACUGGCUCUAGCCCCACCCCCUGAUAUCACCAUGAACAAGUUUACUGUAACCUCUAGUCUUACUAUUUAGGAACUCAGUCUACUGGCUUGGUACACCAGUUUCUUUACCCAUCAGUCUAUUGUCAGGAGCACAAAGUGUAUUCUCCUGCAUCUGCUGCCAAGAUGAGCAGGCACCAACUCCUCAAGAACCACUCAGGAGAUUGAGCACGGCUCACUCAGAGAAAGAGUGAUGCAAUCAGCCUCUAGCUACAGUAGCUACUGAUGGGAACUGUGGUCAUGAUCAGUGUGGGGACAGAGCAGGGACAGGGCUGAGGCAGACUUGUCUCCAUGCUACCUGUAAGAACAAAGUCUCCCCAGGCAGAAGCAGGUGGAUAAUUUCCACUGUGACCUUCAUCUAACUUAAAAAUGCAUAGGAGUAGGAAAGCCCAUUUCUGGAUGUGUCUGUGAAGGUGUUUCCAGAGUCAGUGAAGACAGUGUGACAGAGAUGACAUGGUCAUUGGGUUUUAUAAUAUGGUGCCAUCACUGGGAGGUGGUGACCAGCAAGAGUCAGGCUUGAAUUGGAUGAAGCAGUCUUUAGGAUUGUCAGUCACUGAAGGCAGGAGAAUAGGAAUUAAUGGAAGAAGUUUCAGAGAGUGACACACAAAAGGGACAAGCAGUGGAGACAGCAUCAGUCCUUUGUGUACCUAAGCUUCAUCCAACCAGGAACCCAAGCUCUGCAGAGCCCUUGACCCUAAUGUUUAGGGCAAGGUACUAUGUUAAAGACUCACAAAUGGUCCCAGUUGCGCUCACAUCCCUCCUUCUCUCUUCUUACCUGCCUGGAUCUAGAUCACAGUUGAGGUGUGGUACACUUUAACUCCCCUUGCCAGUAGCAACCCACCAGUCUCUGCACGUUAGUGCUGGAGAGCGGCACACACAAAAAUGGGAGCUUCCAUAUCUACCCUGGAGACAGAGGUCCAUGUCUGUGUCUCACCUUAGCUGGUUUCUAUAUUUCCACCUCUCCCUACUUCCUGUCUGUCAAGAAGUGAAAAGCAGCCUCCUUCAUGCAUUCACACUUCUAGGAUGUUCUCCCAAACAUGGAGUGAAGUGAACAUGGGCUCAGCCUUGUGAAGAGUCCUUAAUUCCCUUGUGCUCUUUCUGUUAUAUAUUUCAGUCUCCAUGUCAACUGUACCUGCUACACUCCAGCCCAGAAAAUAAAGCAAACUGUCAAGGCUCCCUGUAAAGCUCCCACAUACCUCUGUUACCUGAUUUCAGCCUCUACCUGAGAACUAAUUGAACUUGGGAUCUGUGAGUGAAGUCUACGCCCUUGAAUUUGGGAGACAGAUCUGGAUCUUUGGAAGAGAUGUUUUGUCUUUAGAUAAGCAGUGGGGUUGAUCCAACCCCAUGAUCAUUGCUCACACUGUUGUUGAUUUGUGUUGCUUGGCAACACAGCCAGAUGUAGGACUUCUGCUUGCAGAGCACAGAGAAAGUACCAAAGGAUCUGAACUUACUUAGUUGGGAAACAAUCUAAAAAAAGAUGUAGGAGAGACAUUGGAAGAAACACAAGCCUGGAGAAUUGUUUUAGGAACUUGACUCUACAGUAAGAUGGGUCUGUCACUGUCACAAAAUAUGUGAGAGAAACCACCUAAAGGGAGGGACAUCUAUUUUGGCUAAUGGUUUCAGAGAUGAUGUAGGAUGGCUUUUUCCUUCAGACAUGACAUGAUCAUCCCAUAGCCAUUUUGGAGAUUACCUUGGUAUCCAUGACAACAGAAGAGGAACUGUAUUGAGACAUCCAGAUCUGUAGUAAUGGUGAUGGAAGCUAGUAAUGGUCUCAAGUUAAAACAAGGCCCUCUUGUGGGAUUCCAGCCUGCUCCCCGCACCCUUAGCUGCAAAUGAUCUUUGUUGAUGCCAAAGUAUAUAAGAUGUAAAAGGCUGGCUAAAAGUGGACUCCAUGAUGCAGAUUCAUGAGGUCAUCAUCCUAGGGCUAUGGUGGGACUAUGUAAGGGAUGUAGCUGUUUUGGAGACUCCUGUGCUAUUAUAAGUAACCUUCCUCUCACACUCCUGUGAUAAAGCCUACUUAACUGACUGAUAUAUUAACUGGAUUUCAAUGGUUGGUCCUUUGAUGCCCUAUCUGUAAUGAAUAGACCUAUUGUUGUCUCCUCAGGAAAAGUUAACUCUCCAACAAAAAGUUCAAAUCCCAGGUCAGUGGCCCAUGUUACUUUUAGAUCUUUUUGCAAGGUAGAAAUGCUAUGGCAGAAAAGUGUGGCAAGGGAAACAGCAGCCUGGCCAGGGAUGGGGAAGCAGGAGACUGUGAGACAUGGUACAAGAGAUAAGGUUCAAGUCUAUGCCUCCAGAAGGCUAUUUCCUCCAAUUGGGCCCUAUAUUCUAGUUCCCAACACUUCUUAAUGGCAUGCAUUAUGAAGACAGUCCCUUCAUGAUGUCACCGCCUUCCUGAUUUAAUCACUUCCCCAAAUCCCACCUCUAACCACUGCACUAGAGGACAGUCCUUCAACACCUGAGAAGUUAUUUUUGGUAGGAGAAGGCACCUCAUACCCAAAACCAGACUACAGAUCUCUAGGUUCUUCUGAGGGUCUUAGGACAAUUGCCUCGUCUACCCUUACUUUAAUACAAUGAGGGCUCUGGUUUGUUACUUGCAUCCCUCGUUUCCUAAUACUGAUUCUGCAUUUCCUAGCAACACAACAAGCCUAGGGACUCUUCCUUACAGUACCAAGGAUGGCUUACUUCUCACUUUACAGUCUCAGCCUGGAGGAUUAAUGAAGCUGUGUGAUCUAUGCAGCAGUCAAACUGCAGCUAAGGAGAGAAGAAAUAGAAUCCAAACUUUGUACGUUACAACAAGAAAGUUUUCUUCCCAACCAGGAAACAAGAUGUUUUUCUUUUCCUGGUAUAUGGGAGGGUGGGGUGCUUAAUCCUAAUUUAGAUCCUGAGGGAGCCAAUUAUCUAUUUUUUAAUAUUAAAAGUGUCCUGUAUCUGUUUCCAAGACAACAAGCAUAGUGGGAAUAGUGGGAAGUGUAGAAUCCCAUCACUUCAGUCAGAAAUCUGGAAAAUCUUCUCCCCCACUUCUCAAGCCAGAACGCCCUUCAUCUGUAAACAUGGGGGAAGGAUGGCGUAAUUUUACUCUUGCUGCAUAACAGAUAGUCCUUCAUUCUCUCAUCGCUGUGGGUCUCAGGAUGCAUUUUCUAUUUCUGGAAUCCUGGCUAAAUGCUCUUUAAGUGGCAAAAAGUGAUCUCCAAGUGAGCUUAAGUUGUGAAAUGUACAUUAUCUGAAUGGUGAAUUUGGCUGAAAGAGAUAAACAGAUGGCAGUGGCCCCGAUUCAGCUACUCAAAGUGAAGGGAAGUGGGAAAGGAGAAGGAAGAAUUAGGCCCCAUGAAACCAAGAGAUGCUCACUUUGAACUAGCCCAAGCCUAGAUCCAUAUAAAUGUAUACUCUCCACCCCACGAGCAAAAUGGCUUCAGAAGACUUCUUUUAAACCACAUGCUUUCACUUGCACAGUACAGUUGAAGGGCGGGGCUGGAUGUACACCAAGAGUAAGGCAGACCUAAUAACAUGGGACAGCACUUGAUGGGGCCUUCUCCAGAAGAAGAACCCUGUUCUAGGCACUAGGAGAGAUGAGCUAUGUAUCCCUCCCAGUACUUCAAGGGGUAAAUUGUUUUCCUAAUUCUCUUUAAAGGAGCCCAUGAACACUACCCUGCUUAGGCUUGUCUUGUCUUCCAUAGCCACCAUGAGCUCCAGCAGACAUCUCAGAGUUCAGGGGACCCAUCUGCUUGUGAUGCCCUUCCUUUUGCUAAGCCUGGACCCACAAUGCAAUGUGACUCCCACAGGGAGAAUGGGAAAGUAGGGACCAGGAUAAUCAUCAGGAGAAGCACAUGUUGUUUCCUCUCACAUAGGUGUACCUUCAUUGACAGUAAUUAUUAUUUUUUCACUCCCCAGCUAGCAUCUGGGCGACUUGUCUCUCUCUGCUUCGCUGACAGAAUGCUGGAGAGAAGUGAUAAUGAAAAAUGAUGCCGUUGCUUUUAAUGUGACAGGAUGGGGUUGAAUGGAUGGAUGCACUGUUGGGUGAAGGGAUGGAUGGGUAGAGAGUGGGUAGAACAGUGGGCUAGUGGAUGGGUUGAAACAGAUGAGUGGAUGAAUGUAAAUGGGUACAUUUAUGGUUAGAUGGAUGAAUAGAUGAAUGAAUGAAUGAAUGAAUGAAUGAAUGAAUGAAUGGAUAAAUGAACGAACGAAUGAAUGAAUGAAUGAAUGAAUGAAUGAAUGAAUGAAUGAGUGGAAAACAGAUUGGUAGAUGGAAAGGCAAGAUGGAUAAGUAGGGCUAAGUUAGAGGGAGGGUGGGUGAGUAGCUGGCUGGCUGCCUGCCUGAAUAAUGGAUAGAUGGAUGAAUGGAUGAUGGAUGGGUGAUGGACAGUUGGAUAGAUGGAUGGUGAAAAUAUAUAUAAAGUUUUGGACAACAUUGCCUAGUUAGCAAGCAUAUAAAACCUAUUCAUGAAGCCCUAAACCAGCAUAAGCUAUAGCAUAAUCCAGGAGAUGGUUUAAUACCAGUACGAAAAGUGGGCAGAAGCUGAACCUGUAAUAUACCCAGAUAUGAGGAAGAUAUGUGGUGAAAAGGAAGAGUGGCAGGAAAGACUUCAGGGAUGCACAAAUAGCGACACACACUCAUUAUUUUGAGAAGACAUGAUAUCAUACUAACACCUGUGAUUAAAGGGGCCUUGGCCAGCCUUUCUCUGCUCCAAGCCCAUCAAGUCCUCAAACAUAGCACUUCAAACAUGUUCCCUGCACACAGUCUCUGUGGUGUCUGCCUAUCUUCCUUUUCUAUAGCUCUUUGAAAUCAGGCUGCCUUUCAAGUGUGAAAAGCAUGGCCAGGCCUCUGUCUAAAGGGAAGCCUGCAGGCUCCUCUACUCUCUGAAUAUUUCCCCUUCAUCUUUGACCUCUCCAUAUGCAAGGAACAAUGUCCUGCAUCUGGGAUACAAGCUGGCAGUUGCCUACUGCAGGCAACCAGAGUCCAGGGAUGUUGACCACAGAGGGGCUCUGAAAACCUUUUCAGCCACAGAUGAGCAAGGUAAAUCACUGGAACACUUCAACAGUGCCAACAAGCUCUGUACAAUGAGAAAAUGCCAGGACAUUUUCCUUAUGCCCCCAUGAGACCAUCUUUGCACUCUUACGGGGACAGUGUCUCCGAAUCCUCUCACCAAUUCUGAUCUCUCUCCAAGCCAUGACAUCAUGAAGCAAGAGAAGCAGUUUUCACUCUGAAACACCUGGUCACAUUCUGAACCUGACACCUUUAUUUCUUUCUGAUCCCUUUAGGCCUGUCCCCAUUUGCAGGCACACUGACUCUGUCUUGUUUCAACACUGUAUUCCCAUAAGCUUAACCCAGUCCGGUCACAUCAGGGGCCCUUGAUAAAUAUUAGUUGAAUAAAUGAAUGGAUGAGGCAUAUGCAGUGGGGAGAAGAAUGAAUCUUAUUAAAUUUAGUCUGAUAUUAGAAUAGGAUUAGAAAAAUCCUUUGGGGUUUGCAUCUUAUUAAUAAACAGUUGCAUGAUAUUAAACUAUGAAGACAGAGAAGAAAAAAGCCAUCUCAUUAUUCAGGCAUUUCCCCCAUAACAGACAGCCAAUGAAUAAGCUCCAUUUAGAGGAGGCAGACAAUAUAUUUAAGCACUGUAAAUAUCAACAUUAGUACUCAGCCCCCAUGCAAUCUAAUUUAGCUGCUAACACAAUCCAUCAUAAGUGAAGUAUGGUUUUGCUUAUAGAGAACAUAAAAUCUCUCCUGAUUGAUUGCUCCUUUUUUUUCUUUUCUUCCUCCCCUGCUCCUGUGUUCUCUAGGGGUGAAAAUCAGUUACACACAAAUCUCUUUCUUCAGGGACAAAAAGACCCUUGUCACCAGGGCAUUUAUAAGCACAAAUUUACUUUUCACUGUGCAGCAAAGGUAUCAUAAAAUGGGAGGUUAAUCAAUCGCCACAGCGGUCCUUGGGUUAUUUGUGCUCACUUUUUAUGUUUUCAGCAUGCAACUCACUUCCAGGCUCUACAAACAAGGUCUUAAUUCUUCAUCAGAAUGGUUCUCAGGCAGCCAUGGAUUCUGAUGUUUAUUUCUGGGGGUUCGUAGAAACAGUCAAUGAGAACAUGGGAGAUGUGAUUUCAUACUUGUAUUUACAUUUUUAUAGCACCCACUGCACCGGAGACUCAAAAUCUUGGGCUCUCAAGCAGCAUUUCACCAUUGUGGUCAGGAGCCAUGCCAGCCUCCUCCCCAGGAUAGCCAGGGACAAAGCAGGAUGUGGGGGGAAAGGAGGGCAGAACAUGUGAAUAGUGGGAUGUUUGAUUUCUUCUUCUUGUGCUGUCCGAACAGGAUGUAAGGGUAUAUGCUAUUCAAAUACAAAUGAGAAAAGGAGAGAGAAACAGAAAGGAAACAGAGGGGGAAAGGAAGUCAAAGUGCUGAGAAGCAUAAAGGAGGGAUUGUGGAAGAGAAGGAGUGAAGGAGAGGGAGGAAGGAAGGAGGGAGAGAGGAGGAGAGAGAAAAGCUGGUAUCUACUUGAUUAAUUAAUCUAAGAGCAGAGGAAGAAGACAGGAGAGAGAACAACAAGGAGAUCAGAGAACAAAUAUCUACUCAGUGGCUUAAAAUGACAGAGGAGAGGAGUGAGGAGGGGGAAUAGGUUUCUAUGCAGCCUUUUAAGAAGACAGAGAGAAAAGAGGUCAGGAGAGGCAGGGGUGGGUGUUAAGGCAGGUAUCUACCCCCUUGUUCAUACUUGUGCAGAAGAUUCCAGAGCUCAACCAUGAACACACAGCCUCCAGCAGUGAUGCUUGCUCCAUGGAUCUGUCAUAUGAAUCACAAUAAUCAUUCUGUCUGUGGGCAUUUUACAUAAUGCUUCCUAAUGCUGGUUAGCACAAUCUAAAGUAGGAAAACAAUAGGCAACAUGCCAGAGGUUCAACUCAAGCCCGUUCCACCAUCCCAAGCUGUCAGGGUUUCAACCACAGGAACCUCCAAGAUGUGUCUACUGGAACUGGAGGGCAAGGAAUGGACCAGGAUGCUUGAAAACAUACUCCUGUCCUGAAGGUCCCGUAGAGGAGAAAAGGGAAAAUCAAACUAAGAAAAGUACUCAGUUAAACACGUUUCCCUGGGAGACAGUGAGAGUGCGGAUACUGAUCUAACACAGGGUGUUGUUUCCCCAGGCAGUUUAUUGGCUUUGGUGAGUCUUUGAAUGGCUUGCUCAUACCCAAGGGACUCGUCAUCACUUGUAUAAAUUAAGCCACUGCAGUUACAGCCUCACCUUAGCUCAGCCCUGAAAUUCCCCAGCUCUGCCCUCCUAACAGGCACGUCCUGGACCUUCCUUGUCUGACCGUCAUUUAAGCCCUGCUGGGGUGGCUUCACCCACUCUAGCCUCUUCUGCUCUUUCAUUCACUCUGUCUGUCUUCCUCCAUGGUGCCAGAUAGUAAUACCUCUGUGUUGCCAUUUCAUAAUGAGACUGGAUAUGUGGCUCAGGGGCAAAGCGAUUAUUUAGCUUGCAGUAGGCCCUGAGUUUCAUCCCCAGUACCACCAAACAGAAAUAAACAAAAACUAUCAUUUCCAAGUUGCGUCAGAGACUACAUCAGGAAUUGAUGCAGAAUGUUUGCUAUAUCUGUGAGAGUAAAACCCUGGAAAUAGUGAGCAAGGGCUUCCAUCAGUAAGAUGCUGUUUGGGAACACAGAUUUAAAACAUUUAAGCUGACACUGGAUAAAUGAGGCCUUUAUUCUGAAAAGUCUCCUAAUUUCAAGGGGCUUCAAGGCAGACAGGCAAGGGGGGGGAAGAGAGAGAAAAGAAAGAGAAGCUGGAAUGUGAUACUAUUACAAUAAGAGAGAAAAUGAACAUCACUACUUCAACCCCCAUGCUAAAAGUGACAAUACAUGACCAGGAGGCUCCCAUCAUGCCAUGGUCCCUUCAAAACCUUAGCCACGUAAUCUUGGAGCCCACAGACAACCUCAUUUCUUUAGUAUUUUCCCACUUUAUAGAUUUAUUUUUAUUUUUCCCACUUUAAAGAUUUUUUUACUGUUUUUAAUCGUGUGUGUUUAAGGGGGACAUACACAGAGGGAGGGAGAGAGAGAGAGAGAGAGAGAGAGAGAAUAUGCACAUGACUGCAGGUACCCAUGGAGACGAAUUUGGAAGAAUAAUAAGUUAUCUUAACCACGGACCCAUCUCUCUACCCCUAUUCAUUACCUUCUGUUUUGUUGUGAAAAAUGCCUGGUAAACCCAGCUUAAGGAAGGAAGGGGACCAGCCUAGAUGUCCAUCCACUAAGGAACAGACACAGAAAGAGUGGCACCCAUACCCAGGGGAAUUUCAUUCAGCAGAGAAUGAAAUUAUGUUGUUGUCUGGAGAUCAUUACGUUAAGUGAGAUAAGGCAGACUCAGAGAUACAAAUAACAAAUAACGUGUGUUUCUCUCUGAUGUAGAAUCUAGAUCGCACACACAAACACUUGCACAUGCACGCACACACACAGAAGUUCAGGGGACUAUUCAUGAGUAAAGGAAAAUAAUGGGAGAGGAGGAGAAUUGGGUACUGAGGGUGAAUAAGAUCAACGGGAAUGAUAAACAUGUAUGGAAAUUUCACUAAGAAACCCACCAUUUUGUAUAAUUUGACCAUGAGCCUCUAAAACAUAAAGCUAUGUUUUAAAAAGGGAAGAAGCAUACUAGAAAAUUGCAUGUCACGGUUUCAUAGGUAAAAACAAUAAAUUGUCAGUAGUCUUCAGUAACUGUGAAGACAUGAGGAGAAGAUCUGACUGAUGCAUAAGAUAAUCUACAAGUGACAGCCAAGUACAUGGAACUGCUCCUUAUGCCCUGCCCUGCUGAAACCAAUGUCUAAAGGGUGUGAAGAAUCACAGUGGCCCAGAAAACCACAGGCUUGGCGUUGAGAGAUUAUCAUAGGCUGGCCAGGGAGGAGGAUGCGAUGCAUCCCAGCCCCCCCAAAAAACCCCGGAGAGAGGGACUCCCCUCUACUUCUUCCAGGUGUGCACACCCUAGAGCUGUCCAAUGCCCCUCCCUCACUUCUUAAAGGUCACACAAAUGAGAUGAAUGAUCAGAGACACCAAAGGUCACAUAAUAUUAAAAAUAAGCUGUAUUUUAAGACUUUGUGGCAAAUGUCAUUUUCUGCAGGAGUUCAUUAUGCUCCAACAAGGUUCCAGAGUUACUUGUGGUGUUUAAUGGGAUCUUUUAAGAAUUACACUUACUAACUGUGUUUGUGUACUCAAAUGCACAUGCACAGACACACAGACACACAGACACACACACACACACACACACACACACACACACACACACACACACACACGCAAGCUUCUUCACAGGAAUGGAUUGCAAGACUCACAUGUGACAAUCAGAAGAGAACGUGAAGGAGUCAGAUUGCUCCAUCCUCAGGACUUAGAGGUGAGCACCUUUACCCACUGGUCCACCUCUCUUGCUCACAAUGCUGUACUUAGUAAUAACAGCCUUCCUUGGAUGUGGCAGGUAAGGUGUCAUGCACUGUAUUCCCAUAAUCUGUGACAGGGGAGAUAUGGCUGAGCAGGAAAAGUGCUUUCUGCACAAGCAAGAGGGUCUGAGUUUGGAUCUCUAGUGCCUACAUAAAGGCCAGUAAUAGCAGUGUGAGUUGUACCCUCAAGGGUUAGGGCAGAGACAGGCACAUCUGGGGGCUUGUUGGCCAUCCGGUUUAGGCUAUAAUACUAAGUUUCAGGUUCAGUUACAGAUCCUGUCUCAAAAAAUAAGGUGAAGAGACUGGAGGAAUGGCUCAGGGGUUAAGAGCACAUGUGGCUCUUGCAGAAUCCCGAUCAUGGGGAACAGCUCCCACCUACCUUUAAAUCUAGCUCCAGAGGAUAUGACACCAUCUAGGGAAGGGAAUGUCAGUUAGGCUAGCAGUACACAGGCAAUGGGGAAAGACUGCAGAAAUCUGGGGAAGCAAGGCAUUGAUUCUUGGAGAGAAAUUUGCACUAUCUAGAAGAAACUAUUGCUACCUGUAUCAGUAACUGCGCUGUGGCUGUGAUAAAGUACUAUGACCAGAAGCAACUUCAAGGAGAAAGAAUAUGCUUUGGUUUCAGGUUCUAAAGAGGAAGCCCAUCAUGUUUGGGAGGCAUGGCAGCACUCGGCCCAAGUAGGAAGCCGGCUGAUUGCAUUGUAUGCACAUACAGGAUGCAGAGAGGGCACGCAGGAAGUGGGGCAGGGUUAUGAAUCGCCAAGCCCCUACACAGUGAGGCUCUAACGCACAGUGUCUACAGCCUCCCUAAACCAAACAGCUGUGCUAACUGGGGACUGAGUGUUCACAGCUGAGCCCAUGGGGGACAUUUAUCAUUCCAGCCGUCACACUAUCACUUUGACUUGACGUACAUAUAUUUCUGUUUCCAAAAGUGCAAGGACCCUCCAAAUGCACAAAGGCCCCAUGCUCUCUGGGUUUGGGAGGGAAAAUAAAGACCUGAUCAUUUAACAUUCAUAAGCAUUGAGCAGUGGUUUAAAGGUGUAAGUCAGAGACGAAAAGAGCGGCAUCUAAGCUCAGCUGCUCAGAGCCGCCUGGCUUCAGCCUGUGAGCUCUUCAGCCAGCUUCCUCAGAUGUGACAGAUAAUGGCUCCUCCCUGGAGCCGUAAAAAGAGAUUCAAUCAAGUCAGGUACAGCAAUGUCACCAUAAAAUGGGAGCAUACAUUAACAAAGCUGUAUUUAUAUUAAGUUAAAACUAAAAAUUCUGCAAAGAAAUUUUCUGAAAGUCUUUUUCUGAAAUUUUCUGAAAGUCACAAAGCCUGACAUCAUAGCUUCUAAGGGGGCUGAGGCAGGAGGAUGGCAAGUAUAAGACCUGGGCCAUAGAGAUGAGUUCAAGUCCAGCCUAAGCAACGUAGUGAGCUUAAAAUAGAAAGUAAGAGAGCUGCUCUGUGGGGGAACAGCUCACCUGGUGUACACCCAGCACUGCUAAAUGGUGAGGGGCUAGCCUCCAUCACCCUGUCUGUGUUUGUCUGUGUGUCAAUCUGUCUGUCUCUUCCUCCCUGCUUCCCAGGGAUAGAUGCUCGUCUUCCAUCAUGGGUUCUGUGGAAUUGAACUCUGGCUUUCCCUUUGUGCUGCAAGCACCUCUCCCUCUAAACCAUCCCUCCUGCCUUUCUACUGGUCUUGCGUGCCAAUCCUUCCUCCUUUCUCCGGGUAUCCAUUCUUUUUCCUUAGCUCUCUAUUAUAAGUGAGCAUUUGAGCAUUUCCUCUAUCAUGUAACAAAAUGGGUUCUCGGUGUAGCUGUCUGAGUUCCAAUUCCAGAUUCCAAUCUUUUUCUGGCUGUGGAACCCCAGGGAAAUUGUUUCAUCUCCCCAGAUAUUUCUUUUUUUCAUGAAUCAAGUGGGCAUAGCAAGAAACCCACCUCACCUCCCUGUUCUGCACUCUGGUAGGGUUAAGUGACUCUGUGCACAUAAAAAGCAAACCCUUUAAAACAAUACAGAAUGCAGUGAAUAGUCCACACAGCAAAGACCACAGUGCCCAUGAUGGCUUCUCAGUCAGCCCAGUCCCCUCCUCCCUAGAGACUGAGGAAGGUGACUUCCCUCACUCCAACCCAUUCCAUUUGGAAUUUAACACUCCCAUCUGUGAGGAAGCAGCCUGUAGCCCUCACUUCCUUUGCUGUCUCUGCUCCCCGCUGGCCCUGCCCUUGUUGCAGAUGGAAGGCAGCCAGGCUCUGCAUGCUCAUCCCCCAAAGCCUGGAGUUUUCUAAAGCUCUGGUCAUGUGGCAUCUGGCCUCUUUCCUCAGGAACACAAUUCAAAGGGGUAAGCCUUUCAGAGAAAUCUCAUCUCUCAUCAGCUGCCAGGAACAACCACAGGGAGAGAAUCUAAAAGCUGCACUCUCCCUCCGCUGCCACCCAGGCAAGGGAGCCUGCCUUUGAGACAGACAUGGGGCAGGAGAGAUGGCCAUGUUGAGUGCUUGUGUAGGGUUAGAUUGUGUGGGGUUAGAAUAAGAAGGCUGUCCUGAGGAACACAGACACACAGACACACAGACACAGACACACACAGAGACACACAGACACACAGACACAGACACACACAGAGACACACAGACACACAGACACAGACACACACAGAGACACACAGACACACAGACACAGACACACACAGAGACACACAGACACACAGACACACACAC